rnacentral:rRNA from 1 species
UACGGAGGGGGCGAGCGUUGUUCGGAGUCACUGGGCGUAAAGCGUGCGCAGGCGGCCCGUUAAGACAGGUGUGAAAUCCCUGGGCUCAACCUAGGAAUUGCGCUUGUGACUGGCGGGCUCGAGUACGGUAGAGGGGGGUGGAAUUCCUGGUGUAGCAGUGAAAUGCGUAGAGAUCAGGAGGAACACCGAUGGCGAAGGCAGCCCCCUGGGCCUGUACUGACGCUCAUGCACGAAAGCGUGGGGAGCAAACAGG